rnacentral:SRP_RNA from 1 species
GCCGGGCAUGGUGGCGCGUGCCUGUAAUCCCAGCUACUCAGGAGGCUGAGGCAGGAGAAUUGCCUGAACCCAGGAGGCGGAGGUUGCGGUGAGCCGAGAUCGCACCACUGCACUCUAGCCUGGGUAACAGAGUGAAACUCUGUCUCAA